GACGAACGCUGGCGGCGUGCUUAACACAUGCAAGUCGAACGGAAAGGCCCUGCUUUUGUGGGGUGCUCGAGUGGCGAACGGGUGAGUAACACGUGAGUAACCUGCCCUUGACUUUGGGAUAACUUCAGGAAACUGGGGCUAAUACCGGAUAGGAGCUCCUGCUGCAUGGUGGGGGUUGGAAAGUUUCGGCGGUUGGGGAUGGACUCGCGGCUUAUCAGCUUGCUGGUGGGGUAGUGGCUUACCAAGGCUUUGACGGGCAGCCGGCCUGAGAGGGUGACCGGCCACAUUGGGACUGAGAUACGGCCCAGACUCCUACGGGAGGCAGCAGUGGGGAAUAUUGCACAAUGGGCGGAAGCCUGAUGCAGCAACGCCGCGUGCGGGAUGACGGCCUUCGGGUUGUAAACCGCUUUCGCCUGUGACGAAGCGUGAGUGACGGUAAUGGGUAAAGAAGCACCGGCUAACUACGUG
rnacentral:rRNA from 1 species